ensembl:lncRNA
AUUCUGACGUAUGGUGUGUUUUUUUUAAAUCCUUUUAGGGUUUUUGUUUAAUAUACACUUGUGCACACAGCCAUAGGUAAUGUAUAUAUACACAUAUGUAUAUGAAAUUAUUUAUGCAGUACACGUGGCACAUAAUUUUUAAACCGAAUACUUGUAAAGCUGCUGGUGUGCAAAAAGCACUUGUAAGGUCCUGUGAGUAAACACUCCUACUCUCAUAGUUAUGCCAGGUAAGUAUUUCCAGAGAGGAGCAUCACUUUUGAACUGGAAGUCUCCCAUUAACGCUAUUUCUGCUUUGAAAAUAAUGGGUUGCUCCUGACUUACUCUCUCUCUCUUCGUGUUUCGUUUCUCUGGAGUGAAUUAGGGACACCUGGUGUACAUGCUGCUGUGAUGGCAGUGCAUUGUUCUGCACAGGUUGCAUUUAGGUAACCCCUGUGGUUUCUGCUGUGCAGUCGAAGACUUUGCAAGGAACUUUUAACAGUAUCUCCGAAAAUCGUAGUGAGCCUACCAUAGACUACACUUACAGCAGUGAGGUGUCUGCAUGGCUUUGCUUCCAUGCAGAAAUAACAAGGUCUCCUGCUUUCUUAAGGAAUACAGAGCAUAGUGCACACAACUGUGAAAAAGGUCUGCCUCUUCUCCUGGUUUGUGUUCCAGAGUAACCUUUAACUUACCUAGGUAAGUUAAAAUGCUCAGCACGUGCAUUCUCGAUUCUUCCUUAUAAACAGAAAGUUCUUUGAGCUUUUAUAGUAUUUUGUAGUAUUUACUGUUCACAAAAUAUAGUAGCCCUGCCCACCUCCCAUUAAUUUAAACUCGAGGGUGACACAGUAUCUGAAUAUAACAAGUAGAUAUGCCUGUCUGUAUUCAACAAGUACAGUGUCAGUCCAGAUGUAAAAAGCAUCCAACUGAAGGAAACCGCUGCCCUAUGGAAAGUUAAGAGGUUUGCUCAGUAGUGAUAGGCAGUAGUGAAGAAAGUCAGGACAGAGCCAUGCCAGACAAGACAGGAGAGCAGUUCUCUCCAAGCCCAUGAAAUUCUCCAAACCAAAUACAUAUUCUGGAAAACAGCAGACACUUUGGGACUAUUUAUAUUACGCAUGGUUUGCUCCAAAAGUAAUAGAAAAUACAACCAAAUACAAAGAACACAAUAACACUAUUUGAUAGAGAAAAUUCUCAGCUACAAAAUGCUGUUUUUCAGUGUCAUCAACACCACUAGCUAUGCAUUUUUGCCAGCGAAGAACAGGAGCCUGCAUGAUGUACUUGUACAGAUCUGCACCAGCAGAGGAGAACCACAGUGGCUGUCACUGCUGCUGAAAUGCACCACGCGCUGCCUUGCUGUGCUAACAUCCAGUGUCUCUUAGGUCUUCAUAAACAUUCAGCAAGAGCUGGUGUAUGUCAGUGGAUGCAGUUUUUCUUCUGCAAGAAAAAUUCAAUUACACACCUUUACUUCAUACACAUUUUCAUUUUGUCACACUGCUCCCUUUCUGCUGUCUGUAGCAUGGCAAUGAAAUGUGCCAGAAUAUUGGCAGGAAGGUUCAACUUGUAGUACCAUACCACCAAUAUUCAUCUCUGACUUGGGCCAAUGUAAUAAAAUAGGAGGCAUCACGUUCAGAGCAAUUCUCAUACAAUCAGUGUAGAUAUAAGCUGCAUCCAGCAACAGAGCUUGUUGAUAAGAAGUCCAAGUGUUUCUCCAUCACUUUUUAUAUCCUUGACAGAUGAUGGCUUUGCAGCACAGGAUGAGCAGCACAGUUACACGUUGUUGGAUUGCCGUCUUUAUCGGCGGCAGUAUUUUGUGACUGGGAAUAAUAAGCUAUAUGAGCAGUAUUUGCUGUCCAUCUUUUGCUGUUUUUUUGUUGUUGCUGUUUGCUUGUUUGUCUUUUAGUUUAAUCUCUUCCAGUU